GCACAAGCAGCGGAGCAUGUGGUUUAAUUCGUAAGCAACGCGAAGAACCUUACCUAGACUUGACAUCUCCUGCAUUACCUUAAUCGGGGAAGCCCUUCGGGGCAGGAAGACAGGUGGUGCAUGGUUGUCGUCAGCUCGUGUCGUGAGAUGUUGGGUUAAGUCCCGCAACGAGCGCAACCCUUAUUUUUAGUUGCUACCAUUCAGUUGAGCACUCUAAAGAGACUGCCCGGGUUAACCGGGAGGAAGUGGGGAUGACGUCAAAUCAUCAUGCCCCUUAUGACCUGGGCUACACACGUGCUACAAUGGUUGGUACAACGAGUUGCGAGUCGGUGACGGCGAGCUAAUCUCUUAAAGCCAAUCUCAGUUCGGAUUGUAGGCUGCAACUCGCCUACAUGAAGUCGGAAUCGCUAGUAAUCGCGGAUCAGCACGCCGCGGUGAAUACGUUCCCGGGCCUU
rnacentral:rRNA from 1 species